rnacentral:lncRNA from 1 species
UCUGGAGGUUAUAUUGACUAAUCGGGUAAUUAAUCGGAUAAAUGAGUAAUUAAUUUCUAUUAAUUCACAUGCUUAUAACUAUUUGUUCACAUGUGUGUACUAUUGAUUCACAUUCAUGUACUAUUAGGGGAGGUGGUGCAAGAUUUAUAAUACUUGCAUGACUAAAUUAAAAAUGGAGGUAUAGAGGAAUGUACUAUACUGUAAUUAUUUUUUUUACAUGAUUGUACUAUU